CAUAAUUAAUUUUAUAUUAUUUUAUAAAUUAUUUUAUUAAAAAAAUAAAAAUUAUAAAUAUUCUUUUCAAUCGUUAACUGAAAAGAUAAAAAAUAAUAUAUAAUUUAGCUACAACCUAAAAUUUUGGAAAGUAGUUAAGUAUUAUCGAUAUCGAUGAUCACUGAUACAUUAACUUCUCCUUGAUUCUCUCUCAGUUUAUUUAAAAAAAAAUCUCUAAGGCCGUCGUCUACGAUCAACAAGGUCCUCCCGAUGUCGUUACAAGAAUUGUAGAAUUGCCGCCUGUAGAAGUGAAAGAGAACGAUGUCUGUGUUAGGAUGAUAGCUGGGCCUAUCAACCCAUUUGAUAUUAAUCGAAUUGAAGGGGUAUAUCCUGUGAGGCCGCAAGUUCCAGCUAUCGGAGGAUAUGAAGGUGUUGGAGAGGUGUACAUCAAACAACUUCGGUACCUUUACUUAAAUCAUUGGGAGAUGGAUAGGAGAUUACUCAAAUCACCGUCGUCGCAGAGAGAUCUCACCUAGACCAGAAAACAGAGCACAAAGUCCUUGCAUAAGUUGGAAAAUGGUGAGGAAGUCAAUCAGGAAAUGAAUAUUCUAAUGGAAUAGAAGGGAAAAAUCUCUAAUUCAAUACAUAUCUUCGAAUCAAAAAGAGAUAAAGGGAGAUGAGAUGCAGUGGUCUCGGGAUCAGUGUUCAGGACGCAGAAAAAUGAGAGGGUUUCCUUGAGAAUGCAGAAUUUGGUCUAAGAUGACUUCAUCAGAUUCUAAGAAGCUUACCUUUGAGGAGGUGGCCCAGCAUAACUAUAAGAAAGAUUGUUGGAUUAUAAUUUCUGGAAAGACAUCCAACACAAACAUGUUUCAUGUCAUCUGUUGAUCUGCACACUUAUUACUCAUACCAGUUGAUGAGAUCUCAAUACUUCAUGAGGUGCUUGGUGAGAGGCGUGCUUAUGAUCGCGGAACAGGUCUCAAAUUGAAAGGUCAAUUGUCAAGACAACACACACAAUCUGCACCUACUCAAUAAGUGCCUAUGGACUUAGCGCGACAGAUAGCUAGAUUACAAAGGCAGGUUGAACACAUGAGUCAAAAACUUCUACUUGAGGAUCGUUUGCCACCCAACGAGGACAUAUUUUCCAGAUGUUCAUGCAGAUGAUAUCACAGUCAUUGCCUAUGAUGUAGAAGAUGUUGCAGGUACUUCAGACGUCACAGAUGCCACAGAUGAUGCCGAUGCCACAAAUGCAACAAACAUCACAAAUCCCAGGAGUACAACCUACACCUUCGCAACAGACUCGAGGAAAUGAGAAUGGUGGUGAUGAUAAUGAGUCCACGUCUUAGAUGUUUAGUUUAUUACUUUUGUUAGUAUGAGUAUUUAUGAACUCUUUUAGUAUAAACUCAAGGAAAUCAUUCGCAUAAUUAUACCUUUAGUUAAAGAAAUCUAAAUAAAAUUAAAGAACUAAAUUUUAAAUAAAACUAAUAUUUACGUGCCUCGGCACGUAACUUCUAACUA